rnacentral:rRNA from 1 species
AGCUCCAAUAGCGUAUAUUAAAGUUGUUGCGGUUAAAAAGCUCGUAGUUGGAUCUCGGCGGGCAGGGGGUGGUUCGCUCUUCAGCGCUACUGCCCCGCUUUGCCCGUGUGAUUGGCGGGGGUUUCGGGGUGCUCUUCGUUGAGUGACUCGGAGCGCCGUCAGGUUUACUUUGAAAAAAUUAGAGUGCUCAAAGCAGGCUUUUCACGCUUGAAUAUUCGUGCAUGGAAUAAUGGAAUAGGAACUCGUUUCUAUUUUGUUGGUUUUCGGAAAUCGAGUUAAUGAUUAACAGGGACAAUUGGGGGCAUUAGUAUUCAGACGACAGAGGUGAAAUUCUUGGACCGUUUGAAGACGAACUAAGGCGAAAGCAUUUGCCAAGAAUGUUUUCA